rnacentral:rRNA from 1 species
AAUGGUGCAUGGAAUAUGGAAUGGACCUCCGGUUCUUAUUUUGCUGGUUUUCGGAGCUCGAUUAAUGGUUAAGAGGGACUGACGGCAUUCGUAUUACGUGUUAGAGGUGAAAUUCUGAUCGCCGUAAGACGAACUACUCGAAAGCAUUUGCAAGCAUGUUUUCAUUAUCAAGAACGAGUCAGAGGUUCGAAGACGAUCAGAUACCGUCGUAGUUUGACCAUAACGAUGCCAACUAGGAUCCGCCGGAGUUGCUUCAAUGACUCGCAGGCA